GAAGUGCUUCGGUCAGGCAGUAUCUUUGAAAAUAAUUUGGCCAAUGAAAGCCCUGGCAUUGGAUGAAAGUGCUAGCUGCUGGGAAUGCUACCCCUCCUUUUGGUUCUCUUUCAAGUCCUUCAGGUUCAAACAAUACAGAAGUGUAUAAAGUAAGAAUUGAAAGUCUCUUCGCUGCUCUAAUCUCACUCCUCAGAGGUGAUCACUGUGUGGAAGAUGAUCAAAGUAUGACAUUUCUUCUACCCCAGAGGCUGGCAUUUCUGCAGGCACAAAUGAGCUUGGUUUUCAAGCACUGCUCUUUGAACACAAGGAAUUCCUUUAAUGAUCACGCCGGACUAUAUAGACUUUGGAAUCAGACUCUUUGAAUUCCAGCUCUGCCAUUUACCAACUUUGACACUUUGGACAACGUCUCAUUCUGUCACCCAGGCUGGAGUGCAGUGGCACAAUUAUAGCUCACUGCAGCCUCAAACACCUGGGCUCAAGCAAUCCUUCCACCUCUGCCUCCUGAGUAAUUGGGACUACAGGCAUGUGCCACCACACCCAGCUAAUUUUUAAUUUUUAAUUUUUUUGUAGAGAUGGCGGUCUUGCUAUGUCACCCAGGCUGGUCUUGAACACCUGGCCUCAAGUGAUCCUCCGGCCUUGGUCUCUCAAAGCUCUGGGAUUACAGACAUGAGCCACUGCACCCGGCUCUAUCUCCCCUUCCUAUGUGUGUUAGCUCUAGAACAAGAGAAGCCUUGUUGAGAUUCCUGGCUG
rnacentral:lncRNA from 10 species